AACGAACGCUGGCGGCAUGCCUAACACAUGCAAGUCGAACGAGACCUUCGGGUCUAGUGGCGCACGGGCGCGUAACGCGUGGGAAUCUGCCCUUGGGUUCGGAAUAACAGUUGGAAACGACUGCUAAUACCGGAUGAUGACGUAAGUCCAAAGAUUUAUCGCCCAGGGAUGAGCCCGCGUAGGAUUAGCUAGUUGGUGGGGUAAAGGCCUACCAAGGCGACGAUCCUUAGCUGGUCUGAGAGGAUGAUCAGCCACACUGGGACUGAGACACGGCCCAGACUCCUACGGGAGGCAGCAGUGGGGAAUAUUGGACAAUGGGCGAAAGCCUGAUACAGCAAUGCCGCGUGAGUGAUGAAGGCCUUAGGGUUGUAAAGCUCUUUUACCCGGGAUGAUAAUGACAGUACCGGGAGAAUAAGCCCCGGCUAACUCCGUG
rnacentral:rRNA from 1 species